GCUCAUCUUCAACCCCAUGGCCAAAUAUAGCAAGGAGAAACCAUGGCUAGGGUUUUUCAAGCUUCCAAGCUCGAUUUUUUGAACAAGCUAGCUUGGGAAUCGGGACGGGUCGAAGGUUCGAUCACACUAUCCAAAGGACUUUCAUCUGGGUAAAUGGCUUGUAAAACUUAAGUAUGGCAUGUAUAGCAAUAUACUUAUUUUGUGUAAAUAAUUUUAUGAUAUGACCAUGUUUGGUUGAGAAAAUGUUUGAUACUGAUAAGUCAUGGUGAUGGCUAAUUUAGAUCAUGUUUGAUAUUAUGGAAGUUUAAUAGGUUAUCUAGUUCAUAAAAA